UACGUAGGGUGCAAGCGUUAAUCGGAAUUACUGGGCGUAAAGCGUGCGCAGGCGGCUUUGCAAGACAGAUGUGAAAUCCCCGGGCUUAACCUGGGAACUGCAUUUGUGACUGCAUGGCUGGAGUGCGGCAGAGGGGGAUGGAAUUCCGCGUGUAGCAGUGAAAUGCGUAGAGAUGCGGAGGAACACCGAUGGCGAAGGCAGCCCCCUGGGCUGACACUGACGCUCAGGCACGAAAGCGUGGGGAGCAAGCAGG
rnacentral:rRNA from 1 species